AGUUUGAUCCUGGCUCAGGACGAACGCUGGCGGCGCGCCUAACACAUGCAAGUCGAACGGAGCUGAGAGAAGCUUGCUUUUCUUAGCUUAGUGGCGAACGGGUGAGUAACGCGUGAGUAACCUGCCCUUGAGUGGGGGGCACACCAUUUGGAAAACCGCUUGUUUAAUCCCCCAUAAAGCCCCCCGGGUCUGCCAUGCCCCUCGGGGAAAAAAGAUUUUUUUCGCUUUUAGGAGAGGACUCCGGUUCCAAUUAGGUUAGUUGGGUGAGGUAACGGCCCCACCAAGGCGGACGAUUUGGUACCCGGACUUGAGAGGUUGAACGGCCCACAUUGGGACUGAGACACGGCCCAAGAUUCCUACGGGAGGCAGCAGUGGGGGAUAUUGCACAAUGGGGGAAACCCUGAUGCAGCGACGCCGCGUGGAGGAAGAAGGUUUUCGGAUUGUAAACUCCUGUCGUUAGGGACGAUAAUGACGGUACCUAACAAGAAAGCACCGGCUAACUACGUGCCAGCAGCCGCGGUAAAACGUAGGGUGCAAGCGUUGUCCGGAAUUACUGGGUGUAAAGGGAGCGCAGGCGGACCGGCAAGUUGGAAGUGAAAUCCAUGGGCUCAACCCGUGAAUUGCUUUCAAAACUGCUGGCCUUGAGUAGUGCAGAGGUAGGUGGAAUUCCCGGUGUAGCGGUGGAAUGCGUAGAUAUCGGGAGGAACACCAGUGGCGAAGGCGACCUACUGGGCACCAACUGACGCUGAGGCUCGAAAGCAUGGGUAGCAAACAGGAUUAGAUACCCUGGUAGUCCAUGCCGUAAACGAUGAUUACUAGGUGUUGGAGGAUUGACCCCUUCAGUGCCGCAGUUAACACAAUAAGUAAUCCACCUGGGGAGUACGACCGCAAGGUUGAAACUCAAAGGAAUUGACGGGGGCCCGCACAAGCAGUGGAGUAUGUGGUUUAAUUCGAAGCAACGCGAAGAACCUUACCAGGUCUUGACAUCCGAUGCAUAGUGCAGAGAUGCAUGAAGUCCUUCGGGACAUCGAGACAGGUGGUGCAUGGUUGUCGUCAGCUCGUGUCGUGAGAUGUUGGGUUAAGUCCCGCAACGAGCGCAACCCUUAUUGCCAGUUACUACGAAAGAGGACUCUGGCGAGACUGCCGUUGACAAAACGGAGGAAGGUGGGGAUGACGUCAAAUCAUCAUGCCCUUUAUGACCUGGGCUACACACGUACUACAAUGGCGUUUAACAAAGAGAAGCAAGACCGCGAGGUGGAGCAAAACUCAGAAACAACGUCUCAGUUCAGAUUGCAGGCUGCAACUCGCCUGCAUGAAGUCGGAAUUGCUAGUAAUCGCGGAUCAGCAUGCCGCGGUGAAUACGUUCUCGGGCCUUGUACACACCGCCCGUC
rnacentral:rRNA from 1 species